rnacentral:rRNA from 1 species
CGGAUCCCAUCAAAACUCCGCAGUUAAGCACGCUUGGGCUAGAGUAGUACUAGGAUGGGUGACCUCCCGAGAAGUCCUAGUGUUGCACCCU